GAAACAAGGGGUUCAGCUGUGCAAGUUGAAAGUCUUGGAUAUUUAACUCUUCUGGUUUCUCAGGCUCUUUCUGGAACCUCGUGAACUCUACGUUCAUGCUGUUCUUAGGCACUUCAUAUACAAAGAGAACCUUGUUCUUCAGCUUGUUUUGGAUCCAGGGAUCAAUCGAGGCCAAAAGAAUUAAUGUUUCUUGUAGCUGCAUUGAAACAAAGGCCCUGUGGCUGGCUCACUUCAGGCCAAUGCUGGGAGGGAAGGGGGAGCUCUGUCUACAGGCCCUUCUGAUCCCAGGGAAUGAGGUCAAGGGGACAGUGUCUACGGGCGUAUUCCCCUCUCCUCCCCUCUGACAAAGAGCACGUGGCGUGAGGUUAGGUGGGAGAGGCUUGGAGGAAGGGUUGAGAAGAGGAAGAGGUGGGCGGGGAUGCCUUACGCUCUUUUUCACACACGGGCUCUUUUCCACAUCCAGCAUGUCUAGGACCAAGUGGAACACUUGUGGGCUGCGGAUCCCCAGGACACCCUGGCAGAGGCAGGAUGAGGGCGCCUAAAUAGCCGGCCCCAGGAAGAUGCCCUGUCUACACUCUUCCAUUCUAGUGCCCUUGUGACGACCCUGUGCCUGGAGAGGAGAGAUGGCUUCCCAGCAGAGUAACUGCUGGACUGCCUGCUACCCCUGCCAUCAAAACAUCUGGUUAGAGUAGCGGAGCUGGCCUUACCAAAGAGAUGACUGCUUCCUGGCGUGCAGUGGCAUUUGAGCUCGUCAGUUGCCUGGAGAAGGGACCUAGGAUUUGGCCCUGGCAGUUCCCAGCCCAAGCCACUCACGCCUCCACCAAGUUCAUCAUUGUGGGCUUCAUCUUGAGCUCUUCCACAGUUUCAGCAACAGCCUGCCUCAUAGCCUGAAGAGGGAUUAAGAUUUUAUCUCAGAGUCUAUCAGCUCUACAUCAGCUUCCAUUGCCACCAACAGCUGACUGUUGUAGAGUCCUCGUGCUCGCUGAGCCACUGCUUCUGUCCAAGGUUUCGUGUCAUGUGUACUACACAGAAUUCCUUUCAUUGCUUGCAGUGAUUGCUACACUGCAACCUCGACAUCUAGCAUAGUGCCUGGCGCACAGCAGGCAGCUUGCUGUAGUGAGAAAACACAGGCCACCAAGUCCUCCGACUGGACCAUCGCUUGCAAUAAACUGACGUGCUGCACUGAGAAAGACAGCGUCACCAUGUGGUUUUCCUGCCGAGAAUGUUCAUCCUGAAUCUAAGUAUGAGGAAACAAUAGGCAAACCCACCUUAGGAAAUAUUCUACAGAAAUCCCAUCUGAACUCCUGAAGAAAAUAUCAAUAUAUCUUAAGGACAAAGAAAGUCUGUUAAAGGACACUAAAAAGACCUGACAGCUAAAUUCAAUAUGUGCCUGUAAUUGGAGCCUGGAUUUUAAAAAAUAGCUCUAGAGGACAUAAUUGGGACAAUUGUGGGGAUUUGAUCAUGGACUCUAUGUUAGAAAAUAAUAUCGUGUCAGUGUUAAAUGCUACUCAUUCUGUGGCUACGCAGAAUGUCCUUGUUAUUAGGAGAUACACACUAAAACUGUUGGGGGGAAGUGAUAUCACAUCUGCAACUUUCAUUUCAGAAAAGAAUGUACAUACCAGCCAUCUGUAUAAUAUACGUGUGUUUGUAUAUACACACACAUAUAUGCACGUAGAUAAAGCAAAUGUGGUUAAAUGUUAAUAUUUGAAUCUAGAUGAAGGGUAUAUGGGUGUAUUCUUGCAAAUUUCACUAGGUUUGAAAUUUUGCAGAUUAAAGAUGGAAAAAAAAAAGCAGCAGCUUUG